rnacentral:pre_miRNA from 1 species
AAUAUACUCCCUCCGUCCCAAAAUUCUUGUCUUAAAUUUGUCUAGAUACGGAUGUACCUAAUACUAAAAUGUGACUCGAUACAUCCGUAUUUAGACAAAUCUAAGACAAGAAUUUUGGGACGGAGGGAGUAUAUC